ACACUGGGGUCAAAUGUUGCUCUGAUAGUCACAUCAGUUGUCCAGAAUUGUGACAGACCUGUGCGUCAGUGUUAUUUUCCGGCUGUCGUGUGUGUGGAAAGCUCAUGAUUGUCUGACUUUGUCACUUUGGAGUUUGACACAUGCUGUUAGACCUGUACACCUGGUUCUGUUCACAUGAUGAUUCUCAGUUUCUUAUAAAUCACAGUCCUGAACAGAGACAAACACACACGCAAGAAGAACACACACAGGAACAGUCAUGUUGUACAUUGUUGGGAUUGUUUUGGGGCUUAUUUGCAUCAUCAAGUGCAUGUCAAAUGGUCUGUGUCAGAAACAUGCCAAAGGCAGGGAAUGGCUUCCAAGAAAAAAACUUGCUUUACAAAAAGAAGUGGAGAAUGAAUGAUCAGGAACUUCACCUCAUCAUAAAACUCCUCUCUAUUGGGCUGGUGGAUGCAGAUCCAAACACUCUGCACCAUAUAAAAGAAUACAGAGAUCUGAGAGGAAGUUCAACCUGAGAGAGGAAGUAUCAUCCACACGAUUAUACAAAGCUCCCUUCCUCAUCUUUAACCCUGACAGCGAAAACCUAAGAGCAGUGGUUCUCUUUUACUUUGAUUACUGGUUACUCAAGGAAACAUGUGACAUGACAAAGACUGUUGUCCUCCCAGACCUUAAAAUGACUGUGUAACGCUUGGACUCUUUUUCCUGAAAUGAUGUCUGAAACAUCUGGAUUGUGUGAAAUCUGAAAGACUCCGGUGGAAUGGACUUUCACUAAACAGUUCUUAAAAGAACCAUUUUUUCAUAGCAUAAAGAACAUUUUUAUAAUCUAAAGAACCUUUUUCCACUAUAAAGAACCUUUUGUGGAAUGGAAAGGUUCCAUGGAUGUUAAAGGUUGUUCAUGGAACCAUCAAUGCCAAUAAAGAAUCUUUUUAAGAGUGUAGCAAUUGGCAAGAAGAGGCCAAUUCACACCUUGCCGACAGACGGCAACAGACAAUUCAUCGGGUUUUGUCGGAUCAACGUUACCCCUGUUGGAGUCUGUUGGAGCUUGUUUUGGCCGACUGAACAUGUUGAAUUGGAAUUAGAAUGCAUGAGAAGUGACGUGCUGUAAUCUGGUGACUGUCGGCAUUGGUCUACGCCUGUCGGUGCAGUGUGAAUUGGCCUAAAAAGAAUAAACAUUCUCUAUAGAGAAUUACUGCAUUAUGAAUACUCGGAUCACACAAGUAUUAAAAAUAUUCCUACAUGUGCAAUGUACAAAAUAUAUUUGCCAUUGUCACCCUGUAUAUAUGCAGAAAAAUUUUUCUGAAAGUUGCACUAACAAAGACUGUGUGACAAAACAGCACAGUUCUUCCACACGGUUUUUUGAUUUUGUUAAAUAACUUGAUCAAUAAAUGUUAGAGGACACCAGCUUUAUUAUUUUUAUAAGUG